rnacentral:lncRNA from 1 species
AGAGAAUCUAUAUCACAGUAAUCGCAGUAGGCAAUAUCCCAGUGUGGAGACAACACCCCGUUUUGAGACCACUAAUUAGGCAAUAAUUUUGAUAAUGGUAUGGUUUACCCUGUUCAUAUAGACAGGGUUUGAAAUCUAAAAACAGAGCCAACCGGUUUUUCCUCUUGUCUGUCUCAUCCCGUUUGUCCGUGUUUGUGUUUUCUGUGAGUGUGUAUGAGUGAAGGAUCAGGAAACAUGGGACCACACGGGAGCAAAGGACACGGCAUUCCAGAUCCCCCAACACGGGCCCUGAAGGUUAUGGCUGAUAAGUGGGGAGGGGACAUUUCGGACCAGGUGAAAUUGUGGCAUAUCGAAGGAGGUUUCCUUUGACAGGGACACUGAGUGUGACACUGUUGGAUGAGGUUAGGGAGAGGUUAACAGAUUAACAGAACUGAGAAAAGUAAGAAAGAUAAGGUAGACUGGGUUAAAUUUCAGAAAUGGGAAAGAGAGGCAGACAGGCCCACACAAAGGCAGGACCCAUUUAGGGGAAAGCCCCGUCAGAACAUGGUAGUACAGACUGAGGAAGAAGGGAAAACAGACAAAGAUGAGACAGUAAGGAAGAAUAGGAAAGACGAUGAGAGAGAUUUCCCCCUCCCUAUUCUUCUCCUCACAAUGUCUAUCCAGUGCUGCCGGUGCCUGUGGCUGCGGUGGUCGUGUUGGGAAGAAUAGGAGCACUAUAUCCCGCCAAGACUGACUGGAUGACCAUCAGCGAAUGCACCAUGGUGAAGGAUGAGAGCUUGGAAGCGUAUCGAAGGAGACUGGAAACCUGUUUCAGGCUGCACAGCGGCAUCAGACCUAAUGAACUGACAUAUGGCGAUCUGUUGAAGGACGCCCUGGUAAGGGGCCUGACACCAGACCUGGAGAAAGCGGUGAGAACCACAUGUAUCAGUUGGGAAACUGAACUCCUGGCCACUGUGGUACAACUUUUCAAACAUGCUGAGCGACAGCAACGUGCUCAGAAGGAAGAAAAAUAAAAAAAAGUGAAGCCUCAGAAAUUGCAAGCUGCCCAGUUAACAUUCUACCAGUGGCAGGUGCCUGCUGGAGUUGGAGGAAGUGGAGGAAAACCCAAACUUGGAAGUUGCUUCCCCUGUGGCAAGGCAGGCCAUUUCGCUGCACAAUGAAAUCAAUCCCAGCAGCCGAGGGGAAGAGGCAGGGGCGGACCAAGAGGCAGAGGAGCCCCAAGGAGGGCCUGUACAAUCCAGGACAAGAACAGGAGGAAGAAUAUUGCCAUGAUGAAGAGACAGGGACAGAUGACGUAGAAUCGUCAGAGCAACCCGAGCAUUUGUUUAAAGAGUCACACCCUUACCAGAGUAGAGCCAACCGUGGAGGCUUGCAUCAAUGGCAAAGACGGCCCAUCUAACACCAGCUCAACUGCUCCAUUAUCAGAAUGUUCUUCUGACAAUGUCUCAUGUGACCCUGAAGAGGUGCAGUGUUAAAUCCUGCUACUUUGUUGCCUACCGAGGACGAUGGAGAGCCGCACAGCUGUGUAGCUGAGAGGUCUACUUGGAUCCACGCCAGCCAAAUCAAGAAGGUGCCUUACAGUUGCCAUAUGAACAGUGACUCAAGGACAACCGGUCCUGGAAGAAGUACAAAAUGGUACGGACUUGACUGAUGACCACUCAGUCCAAAGGUGGGACUUAAAUAACAGCCACUCCAGCUCGAGCCAACGGCAGGCUCAGGACAGGAGUCCAGCAAACAAUGGCCGCUCCAGUACUGGAAGAAGCACAAGGUCCAUGCAUCCACUGGAUGAGCAUCACAGUAGGAAUCACGAGGGAAACACUUGGUGGUCACUGCUUAUCUAUACAGUAAAGACUGAACUGAUGGUAGAAAAAUACUUCCUGUUAUGUAUGUAGUUUGUUUCCACACUCAGCGAUCUCUCCAUUCUUACAGAAUUCAGUAGAGGUCAGCAUUAAUGACACUCUAUGUGAAGUGCUCUUGUCAAAUGAGAUCACAUGGGGUCAACCCUGACUAGAUAAAACACGGAGGGAUAAAUGCAUUAAUGGUACUUUGUCAUUAACAAAGAAUUUACGAGGGGGAUUUUAUAAGGGUGAGACCCAAAUGCAGACACAGGAGGCAGAUGGUUGAGUUCAGAUAUUUAUUGUACCACAAGGGGUAGGCAAAAGGCAAGUCGGGGACAGGCGAGAGAGAGUUCAUAAACCAGGUCAGAGUCCAAACAGUACCAGGGGAUAGGCAGGCUCGAGGUCAGGCAGGCGUCAGGGCAGGCAAAGGUCAAAACCAGGAGGGCUAGGAAAAAACAGAGACUGGGGAAAAAUAAGAGCUAGGAGAAACGCUGGUUGACUUGGCAAAACAAGACAAACUGGCACAGAGAGACAGGAAACACAGGGAUAAAUACACCGGGGACUAAUGGGGAAAACAGGAGACACCUGAAGGUGGGUGGAGACAAUCACAAAGACAGGUGAAACAGAUCAGGGCAUGACAGAUUUGAUUGUUCACAUUGGUGCGGCAGAAUCAUCUUAGAACCUAGAUCCCGUGUACUAGAACCUAUUCUAAUCCAACCCCGGUGAACCCCAUUCCGAACCUGUCAUUUUUACAACCCAAGCAAUAAUUCCAUACCACAACUUAAUGAAUCAUAUCUGGGAAUGUCAACAUGUGUCAAUUAUUGUUACUUCCCAAUAGGAUGUAGCUGGAAGAAUGGAACACGCAGCUGGAGACCCGUUAGACUGAAGGUGGGGCACACCAUUGUUGACGGGAAAACUGACAAUUGCUUUCCUCAUCAAUUUGGUUCGGCAAUGUUUACUGAUCAUUAUUGGAUUUGUGGUGAUAAAGCCUAUUUCUAUCUACCAACAAAUUGGACAGGGUGCUGUAUUUUUGGUAAACUAAACAUCUCCCUUGUGGUAAUGCAUAAAACCAACUCCUCCAUUCCAAGCAGGUUAAGAUGAGUUAAGAGGGGUAUCUUGCAAUCAAAUGAUGUCCCAGUGACUCGCGACAAUCCUCGAAAUUGGAAAAGUUAAUGGCGCGGGUUAAUCCCCUGGUAUGGGGCAUUGGAGAAUGCCCAUGAGUUGGAUCAGCGAGGAUAUCAUUUGGAAUCCCUGGUAAUUUAACCACUUCAGGGCUUUCAAUUAUAAGACCAGAGUUGCAAGGCACUCUACUCAUGGCCACACAAAAUAGGGUGGCACUUGACAUGUUGCUAGCACGUGAAGGGGGUGUCAAAUUAUAGAAGAUCACUGCUGUUCAUUUAAACCCAGGGAGAUGAAAAUUUGACUAUUGUAGUGGAACAUUUGAAGGAGCUUAGUGGUGUUCUCAAAAGGGAACACCAGCCUGACAACGACGAAUCCAUUUGGGUGGGUUCAGUCAUUGUUUGGUGCUUGGGGAGCGA